CAUGUCUUUUUGGUGUAUAAUUUAAAGUCUAAUCUGCCCAGUGAUGUUAUUUCAACGGCCGCGGUAUUUUGACCGUGCAAAGGUAGCGUGAUAAUUAGUUUUUUGAUUGAGAACUGGUAUGAAGGAUUGGACGAGGAAAAUUCUGUCUCAAUGUAACCUAUAUAGAAUUUAAUAUUUAAGUUAAAAAGCUUAAAUUGUUUUAGAGGACGAGAAGACCCUAUAGAGUUUAAAACUUUCAAUUUAUUUAUAUGUUAGUAUUAUUUUUAUUUAUGGGUUUUUAAGUUUUUGGUUGGGGUGACUUAAAGAUUUAAUAAACUCUUUAAUAUUAAAACAGUGAUGUCUGGACUUAUGAUCCAUAAAUUAUGAUUAAAAGAUUAAAUUACCUUAGGGAUAACAGCGUUAUUUUCUAUAAAGUUCUUAUUGAAUUGAAAGUUUGCGACCUCGAUGUUGGAUUAAAAUUAAGCUUUGGUGCAGAAGCUAGAGUAUUAAGUCUGUUCGACUUUUAAAAUUUUACAUGAUCUGAGU
rnacentral:rRNA from 1 species